rnacentral:rRNA from 1 species
GCGCCAGCGAUGGCCGCUUGCGAGGUGCUGCAUGGUUGUCGUCAGCUCGUGCCGUGAGGUGUCGGGUUAAGUCCCAUAACGAGCGCCAACCCCUACUGCUAGUUGCCAGCGGGUCAUGCCGGGGACUCUAGCGGAACUGCCAGCGUAAGCUGCGAGGAAGGUGGGGAUGACGUCAAAUCAGCACGGCCCUUACGUCCAGGGCUACACACGUGUUACAAUGGCCGGUACAGAGGGCAGCCACCCCGCGGAGGGGGCGCGAAUCCCGAAAGCCGGUCCCAGUUCGGAUCGGAGUCUGCAACCCGACUCCGUGAAGCUGGAUUCGCUAGUAAUCGCGCAUCAGCCACGGCGCGGUGAAUACGUUCCCGGGCCUU